rnacentral:rRNA from 1 species
UACGGGGGGAGCAAGCGUUGUUCGGAUUUACUGGGCGUAAAGGGCGCGUAGGCGGUCAUGACAAGUCAGUUGUGAAAUCUCCGGGCUUAACUCGGAACGGUCAACUGAUACUGUCAGACUAGAGUGCAGAAGGGGCAACUGGAAUUCUCGGUGUAGCGGUGAAAUGCGUAGAUAUCGAGAGGAACACCUGCGGCGAAGGCGGGUUGCUGGGCUGACACUGACGCUGAGGCGCGAAAGCCAGGGGAGCGAACGGG